rnacentral:lncRNA from 1 species
AUUUGUAUGUGUUUUAUGGACAAAAUGAUAUUAUAUACAUGAUUACAACAUAUACUUUAACUGUCUCUAUAAUAUUUUUUCAUGGAAAAGCAUGUGAGAAUCAUCUAGGUCCUUAAAGUUGUUUAUAUAAUAAUGAUUUUGUAUUAAAUGUGUAUGACUGUUUGGCAGCCCCCUGAAUAGCCUAUCCUCUGAAUGAAUAGUCUGUGUCUGUGUUUAGAGAUUGAUAUAAACUGAGGAGGAAACUGGCUGCUCCCCUCUCCCCUCAGCAUCCUUCUCUGUGUCAGGAUCAUGGGCAAUAUUUGCUUCUUAAUUUAGAGUCCUAGAACUUGUAUAGAUUUUCUAUUGUUUUGUUUUGUUUUCCUUUUCCCUGGCACUUUUAUAUGUAUUAUGAUUCCAGUAAUAUCUUCCACUGUGAAAAGGUAACUUUUCACAGCUUAACUAUUUUCAGAGUCAAUAAUUAGUACAUAUCAGAAAAACAUGCCUACAACUUAAAAUAAGAACUAUAAAUAAUUUGAAUGUCAUUGAGUUACAAAACCAUGUGCCUCUAUCCAUAAAACAUCUGUAGUUGGGAAAUACUUGUGAAAUCAGUUCUAUCCUGGGGUAUUUUCUUUUCUGCAGUCUGUGAAAACUUUUCAGUAAGGAAUGUGUUCUCUCCUGAUCUUAUCUGAGUUGAAAGACAUCCUUGGUGGGUCUAUACAUAUAGUUCCCCCCUGCCUUCUGGGAUUGUUGAAAUGCUUCCAUUCUAAAUGUUUUAGCCUUAUGAUUAAUAACUUACUAAUCACCGAGAAUUAAUGAGAAACAAAGGUGCUUCAGUCUUUGGUUUGAAAUUAUUUUUGGAUUUUUUAAUUUUAAAGAAAGCACUGAUGGACUGGGAGUUUGGGGUUAAUAGAUGCAAACCGUUACGUUAAAAAUGGAUAGGCAAUGAGGUCCUGCUGUAUAGCACAGGAAACUAUGUCCAAUCACUUGUGAUGGAACAUGGUGAAAGAUAAUAUGAGAAAGAGACUGUGUAUAGAUGUAUGAACAGGUCACUUUGCUGUACAGCAGAAAUUGACAGAUUGACAACAUAAAUCAACUAUAAUAAAAAAAUUUGAAAAGUUAACUAAAAAUAAGAUACACUGUCAAAGUAGCCAAAAGAAUAAAAUAAAUACAAUAAAAAAUAGCAUGAUUUCUCCAAAAACACUUACUGAAGUAAAUGAAAAAGGCAUUUUGAAAUGUUGCUUAAUUUUGACUUUGACUUAUCAGCAUUAUAUAAAAGAUUUUAAAGUUCUCUAAAAUAAUACUAAUUAUUGCCAGCUCUGCUUACAAAUGGUGUCUAACAGAAAUGACUAUAUUCAGAUGUUUUGUACAUUAAACAUAUGAGUGGUUUGUUUUGACUACGAAGAUAAGAAGUGAUGGUAGAUUAUCAUUAGAACUCCAUGUGCCUUGAAUAAUGAUUUUCUAAGGUUAUGUGUCUAGAUUGUCUAGUUUCAUUGGACCAUCUAGUGACAACUUGGAGGGUUAGCUAUAAACAUUGUCAACAGUUAUUCACUUUAAGCACUAUUUCCUAUAGUUGUCUGACCGGUUAUUAUACCAGGAAGCUGGUUGAGUGUGUCCUGGUUAGUGGAGCCCAUAAGCUAUCAAUAUUUAAUGUUUCCACUGGUAUUGGGGAUCUAUCUUUUCGCAAAAGAAAGUGAAAUCUUUCCAAAGUUUUCUUCAGUUUACUGUGAACAGAGUUCGAAUAUCUCUUCAAACAAAAAAAGCAAUCUCUCCCUUACAGUCUCAAUGAUAAAGUAACCCCACAGAUAACUAUGUAAAAAUAUACAUGAAGGCUCAUCACAUUCUCAAGAUUCAUAAAAUAAAAUUAUCCUGGGUAGGAGAGAAUGCUGUUUUUUCCCUAAUUUUUGAAACUGUAAAUAAAAUGUAUGAAUGAUCUGGCAUCAGGAAUAGGGGUAAGUGCUUUCUGAGCACU